AGCCUUGAGGUUGCUGCCAUUGUAGAGCGGGCUGUCAAUGUCUGCGUCACUUGUUUUAUUGCCCGUCUGUUCGCUGUGUAUCUGUGCGUGUGACAAUGCAGGGCCUUUUACUCGAAUUGUAUUCCACAACGUUCCAGCAUACGCGGCGACCCGAGAUACAGAUACUUUUACAGUUGCAGAUACAGAUACGUGCGUCGUCUAUGGAAAUUGAGACUAAAUUGGGUUAACAAGUGUUAAUGGACAGAGAUCUGGUACCUCCCUGCCGCUCCCACUGUUAUUUAAACGAAAAAUUGCAUCGACAUGGGAAAAGGGAACAGGAAUUCAACAGCGAACGAAAAGAUACAUUGGGAGCACUGUGGGAAAGAGCACCGAAAUUUUGUUGGGUGCCGCAAGUACAGUAAGCUCCAAUGAAAGGCAUUCCUUAAUCUAAUAAUGGCGAAAUUAUACUCCAAUUUGGGAACAGAAUAUUUAAGAACUUGACAAGAUGCAAAGGAAUUUGUUUGUAUUAAAUAAAAUUUGAAAUG
ensembl:ncRNA lncRNA:CR45808 long non-coding RNA:CR45808